CCUACCCGGGAAUGCUCUGGAANCGGUUGUAAUGCCGGAUGCUCCAGUGAUCGCAUGUCUUCUGGAAAGCUUUCGCGUAUGGAUGGGGUCGCGUCUAUCAGCUUGACGGCGGAGUAACGGCCCACCGUGGCUUCGACGGGUAGCCGGCCUGAGAGGGCGCCGGGCCACAUUGGGACUGAGAUACGCCCCAGACUCNUACGGGAGGCAGCAGUGGGGGAUAUGCACAAAUGGGCGCAAGCCUGAUGCAGCGACGCCGCGUGAGGGAUGGAGGCCUUCGGGUUGUAAACCUCUUUUAUCGGGGAGCAAGCGAGAGUGAGUUUACCCGUUGAAUAAGCACCGGCUAACUACGUGCCAGCAGCCGCGGUAAUACGUAGGGUGCAAGCGUUAUCCGGAAUUAUUGGGCGUAAAGGGCUCGUAGGCGGUUCGUCGCGUCCGGUGUGAAAGUCCAUCGCUUAACGGUGGAUCCGCGCCGGGUACGGGCGGGCUGGAGUGCGGUAGGGGAGACUGGAAUUCCCGGUGUAACGGUGGAAUGUGUAGAUAUCGGGAAGAACACCAAUGGCGAAGGCAGGUCUCUGGGCCGUUACUGACGCUGAGGAGCGAAAGCGUGGGGAGCGAACAGGAUUAGAUACCCUGGUAGUCCACGCCGUAAACGGUGGAUGCUGGAUGUGGGGCCCGUUCCACGGGUUCCGUGUCGGAGCUAACGCGUUAAGCAUCCCGCCUGGGGAGUACGGCCGCAAGGCUAAAACUCAAAGAAAUUGACGGGGGCCCGCACAAGCGGCGGAGCAUGCGGAUUAAUUCGAUGCAACGCGAAGAACCUUACCUGGGCUUGACAUGUUCCCGACCGCUCCAGAGAUGGGGCUUCCCUUCGGGGCGGGUUCACAGGUGGUGCAUGGUCGUCGUCAGCUCGUGUCGUGAGAUGUUGGGUUAAGUCCCGCAACGAGCGCAACCCUCGCCCCGUGUUGCCAGCGGAUUAUGCCGGGAACUCACGGGGGACCGCCGGGGUUAACUCGGAGGAAGGUGGGGAUGACGUCAGAUCAUCAUGCCCCUUAC
rnacentral:rRNA from 1 species